rnacentral:misc_RNA from 1 species
GAUGAAGAACGUAGCGAAAUGCGAUAAGUAAUGCGAAUUGCAGAAUUCAGUGAGUCAUCGAAUCUUUGAACGCACAUUGCGCCAUGUGGUAUUCCGCAGGGCAUGCCUGUUCGAGCGUCAUUUCAACCCUCAAGCUCUGCUUGGUGUUGGGCCACGCCCCCGCGGCCGGCCCCAAAGCUAGUGGCGGUGCCGUCUGGCUCUAAGCGUAGUACAUCUCUCGCUCUAGGGCCCGGCGGUUGCUUGCCAGAACCCACACUCUUAUGGUUGACCUCGGAUCAGGUAGGGAUACCCGCUGAACUUAAGCAUAUCAAUAAGCGGAGGA